rnacentral:rRNA from 1 species
GAUGAACGCUGGCGGCGUGCCUAAUACAUGCAAGUCGAGCGAACAGACGAGGAGCUUGCUCCUCUGACGUUAGCGGCGGACGGGUGAGUAACACGUGGAUAACCUACCUAUAAGACUGGGAUAACUUCGGGAAACCGGAGCUAAUACCGGAUAAUAUAUUGAACCGCAUGGUUCAAUAGUGAAGGACGGUUUUGCUGUCACUUAUAGAUGGAUCCGCGCCGCAUUAGCUAGUUGGUAAGGUAACGGCUUACCAAGGCAACGAUGCGUAGCCGACCUGAGAGGGUGAUCGGCCACACUGGAACUGAGACACGGUCCAGACUCCUACGGGAGGCAGCAGUAGGGAAUCUUCCGCAAUGGGCGAAAGCUUGACGGAGCAACGCCGCGUGAGUGAUGAAGGUCUUCGGAUCGUAAAACUCUGUUAUUAGGGAAGAACAAAUGUGUAAGUAACUAUGCACGUCUUGACGGUACCUAAUCAGAAAGCCACGGCUAACUACGU